rnacentral:rRNA from 1 species
UGCCUUACACACGCAAGUCGAACGGCAACACGGGUGCUUGCACCUGGUGGCGAGUGGCGAACGGGUGAGUAAUACAUCGGAACGCACCUUAUCGUGGGGGAUAACGCAGCGAAAGCUGUGCUAAUACCGCAUACGCCCUGAGGGGGAAAGCGGGGGAUCGAAAGACCUCGCGCGAUUAGAGCGGCCGAUGCCUGAUUAGCUUGUUGGUGGGGUAAAAGCCCACCAAGGUGACGAUCAGUAGCUGGUCUGAGAGGACGAUCAGCCACACUGGGACUGAGACACGGCCCAGACUCCUACGGGAGGCAGCAGUGGGGAAUUUUGGACAAUGGGGGAAACCUUGAUCCAGCAAUGCCGCGUGAGUGAAGAAGGCCUUCGGGUUGUAAAGCUC